UCCUGAAGCACCACCCCAUGGUCACAUCGCACCAGUGCAAGAGUGGUACCUUCUGGGCGACCGCGGUGCUGUCCCGUCGGUAAAUAUAUAUGCAGUGAUGCUGGAUACUGGAAAAACCCCAGAGGAGCAAGAACCCCUCCUAUCUGUGAACCAGACAGCAAGGCAAG